rnacentral:rRNA from 1 species
UACGAGUGCCCCGAGCGUUAUCCGGAAUCAUUGGGCGUAAAGGGUGUGUAGGUGGCAGUGUUAGUCUUUUGCUAAAGCCCGAGGCUUAACCUCGGAAGGGCGAAGGAAACGGCACAGCUAGAGGAUGGCAGGGAUGUAUGGAACUCAUGGAGUAGGGGUGAAAUCCGUUGAUAUCAUGGGGAACACCAAAAGCGAAGGCAGUACAUUGGGCCACUCCUGACACUGAAACACGAAAGCGUGGGUAGCGAAUGGG